UCGGACCCAUAUACCCAUUAAGCAUGAGC
rnacentral:piRNA from 1 species